rnacentral:rRNA from 1 species
GGGACACGUGGUAUCCUGUCUGAAUAUGGGGGGACCAUCCUCCAAGGCUAAAUACUCCUGACUGACCGAUAGUGAACCAGUACCGUGAGGGAAAGGCGAAAAGAACCCCGGCGAGGGGAGUGAAAAAGAACCUGAAACCGUGUACGUACAAGCAGUGGGAGCACCUUCGGGUGUGACUGCGUACCUUUUGUAUAAUGGGUCAGCGACUUAUAUUCUGUAGCAAGGUUAACCGUAUAGGGGAGCCGCAGGGAAACCGAGUCUUAACUGGGCGUUAAGUUGCAGGGUAUAGACCCGAAACCCGGUGAUCUAGCCAUGGGCAGGUUGAAGGUUGGGUAACACUAACUGGAGGACCGAACCGACUAAUGUUGAAAAAUUAGCGGAUGACUUGUGGCUGGGGGUGAAAGGCCAAUCAAACCGGGAGAUAGCUGGUUCUCCCCGAAAGCUAUUUAGGUAGCGCCUCGUGAAU